rnacentral:rRNA from 1 species
CGCGUGGGAAUAUGCCCUUCUCUAAGGAAUAGCCUCUGGAAACGGAGAGUAAUACCUUAUACGCCUUCGGGAAGAUUAUCGAGAAGAUAGCCGCGUUAGAUUAGGUAGUUGGUGGGGUAAGUGGCCUACCAAGCCUACGAUCUAUAGCUGGUUUGAGAGGAUGAUCAGCCACACUGGGACUGAGACACGGCCCAGACUCCUACGGGAGGCAGCAGUAGGGAAUCUUAGACAAUGGGGGAAACCCUGAUCUAGCCAUGCCGCGUGUGUGAUGAAGGCCCUAGGGUCGUAAAGCACUUUCGC